rnacentral:lncRNA from 1 species
GGCGCUUUGAUGCUGGCGGCGGGGCGGGAGGGCCCGGGGCGGGCGGUGGGGGUNGGGGGGGGGGGGGGGGGGGGGGGGGGGGGGGGGGGGGGGGGGGGGGGGGGGGGGGGGGGGGGUGUGUCCGGCCUCCCGCGCCAUCCCUCCGCCCCUCCGUCCCGCCGCCACACGCCGCCGGAGCUCGGACCGGGCGCCUCUCCCUCCUCGUCGUGCCUCGCCGCGGCCGCCAAGCCCCGAGCCGGCGGGAGCCCCGCGCUCACCAUGUCGGUCGCGCUCAGCAACAGGUUCCAAGGAGGGAAGGCAUGUAGUGUAUGUGGUCCAACACCUGGCAGGAGGGGUGACUUCUGGGGACGGUGCUAGAAUUCUUUUCUAAGGUAGACGUCUCCCAGAUCCCCUCCUGACAGGCAUGCCCACUGAAACAAGGCUGGGCAUUCCCCCUGCUGGCUCCCUCAGCUGCUGGGCACCCAAGUUGUAAGCCCAGCUCAGAGUCCCCAAAUGGGAAGCUGGUGACGGUCAGCAGGGUCCGGGUCAAGGCGAUGUGGAGGUGGGUCCCGGGGCUGCGGUACAGCUGUCGUAUUUUGUAGUAGUUCUCCUUGCCAAGGUUUGCAGUCUUAAUUCCCUCCUUGAUUUUUUGAAGUGUCUGGAACGAGGCAGUCUAUCUGAUUUCUUUCCGCUGGCUGUAGGAAUCCCAAGCAGGGCUCUGGGGACCCAGGGUCCCUCCAAGUAAACUCUGGUCCCUUCUGUGCCAUCAUUACCCUGCCUCUUGGUGCCAUCUUGAACGCAGCUGAAAGGGAGACUGGACGUGUGGCCGGGGCUCUCAGGGGUCGAGGCUGCUGGGCUCCCUCCCAGUUUACUCUGCAGCCAGCCCGCCCUUGGUCUUGGCUGCUCUUGCCCUCUGGACAGAAGCCUGGAACCCUGACCUCAUACAGCCCCCUGGGCCACUCGACAGGGCGGGUUCCAAGCUGGCUGAAUCCACCCACAGCCCGCAGGACCCUGAGCCAGAGACAGCUGGAGAUGGGGGAGAGGUGACUACGGUGAGACAAAACACAGUUGCUGAGAAUGUGUGGGACUUUCAUGCCAGUCCUGCCCUUGGUCGGGGGGGAAGCCGGGGCNGGGGUGCGGUAAGCUACACUGGUGGUUUGGGCGGUGAACUGGCUUGGCUCAGAAGGCGGUAGGGCCGUGGCUCUCAGGGGCUGAUCUGAACAGUGCUAGGACUGGAGAAAGGGAGCAAGAAGGGGCCAUGUGUCACCGCCUUGGGACCCCGAAGCCCAGAGAGGGCAGGCAGCUGGCUAAGGCCACACAGACAUACAGAGCCGGUGACAGAACUUGCAGUCUGCUGUCCUUUCCCUACCCAGAAGCU